AGUGCCCGGCGCGGCCCGCUAUUCCCUCCCUUUUAGCGGGCCAUGGGAUCCGGCCCCGCCCCCAAGGCCGGGUCCAUCGUCCCCGAAGGCCACACCCCAUGGCCUUCGGGGUUUUUUA
rnacentral:sRNA from 1 species